AACGAACGCUGGCGGCAGGCCUAACACAUGCAAGUCGAGCGAGGACUUCGGUUCUAGCGGCGGACGGGUGAGUAACGCGUGGGAAUGUGCCCUUCUCUACGGAAUAGCCCUGGGAAACUGGGAGUAAUACCGUAUACGCCCUAUUGGGGAAAGAUUUAUCGGAGAAGGAUCAGCCCGCGUUGGAUUAGGUAGUUGGUGGGGUAAUGGCCUACCAAGCCGACGAUCCAUAGCUGGUUUGAGAGGAUGAUCAGCCACACUGGGACUGAGACACGGCCCAGACUCCUACGGGAGGCAGCAGUGGGGAAUCUUAGACAAUGGGGGCAACCCUGAUCUAGCCAUGCCGCGUGAGUGAUGAAGGCCUUAGGGUUGGAAAGCUCUUUCAGCUGGGAAGAUAAUGACGGUACCAGCAGAAGAAGCCCCGGCUAACUCCGUG
rnacentral:rRNA from 1 species